rnacentral:rRNA from 1 species
CAGUCGACGGGCUCUUCGGAGCUAGUGGCGGACGGGUGAGUAACACGUGGGAACGUGCCUUUAGGUUCGGAAUAAGCCCGGGAAACUGGGUCUAAUACCGGAUGUGCCCUUCGGGGGAAAGAUUUAUCGCCUUUAGAGCGGCCCGCGUCUGAUUAGCUAGUUGGUGGUGUAAUGGACCACCAAGGCGACGAUCAGUAGCUGGUCUGAGAGGAUGAUCAGCCACAUUGGGACUGAGACACGGCCCAAACUCCUACGGGAGGCAGCAGUGGGGAAUCUUGCGCAAUGGGCGAAAGCCUGACGCAGCCAUGCCGCGUGAAUGAUGAAGGUCUUAGGAUUGUAAAAUUCUUUCACCGGGGACGAUAAUGACGGUACCCGGAGAAGAAGCCCCGGCUAACUUCGUGCCAGCAGCCGCGGUAAUACGAAGGGGGCUAGCGUUGCUCGGAAUUACUGGGCGUAAAGGGAGCGUAGGCGGACAUUUAAGUCAGGGGUGAAAUCCCGGGGCUCAACCUCGGAACUGCCUUUGAUACUGGAUGUCUUGAGUGUGAGAGAGGUAUGUGGAACUCCGAGUGUAGAGGUGAAAUUCGUAGAUAUUCGGAAGAACACCAGUGGCGAAGGCGACAUACUGGCUCAUUACUGACGCUGAGGCUCGAAAGCGUGGGGAGCAAACAGGAUUAGAUACCCUGGUAGUCCACGCCGUAAACGAUGAUUGCUAGUUGUCGGGGUGUUUACACCUCGGUGACGCAGCUAACGCAUUAAGCAAUCCGCCUGGGGAGUACGGUCGCAAGAUUAAAACUCAAGGAAUUGACGG